rnacentral:rRNA from 1 species
AGCAGCCGCGGUAAUUCCAGCUCCAAUAGCGUAUAUUAAAGUUGUUGCAGUUAAAAAGCUCGUAGUUGAAUUUCGGGGUUUAUCCGUUGGUCGGGCUUUUUGGUCUGUACUGGCGUGAUGGAUUCUUACCUUCUGAAUAACCGGCAUGCCAUUAAUUUGGUGCGCCGGGGAAGCAGGACUGUUACCUUGAAAAAAUUAGAGUGCUUAAAGCAGGCUUAUGCCUGAAUACAUUAGCAUGGAAUAAUGAAAUAGGACGUUUGAUUCUAUUUUGUUGGUUUCUAGGAUCGACGUAAUGAUUAAUAGGGAUAGUUGGGGGCAUUAGUAUUCAAUUGUCAGAGGUGAAAUUCUUGGAUUUAUUGAAGACUAACUACUGCGAAAGCAUUUGCCAAGGACGUUUUCAUUAAUCAAGAACGAAAGUUAGGGGAUCGAAGACGAUCAGAUACCGUCGUAGUCUUAACCAUAAACUAUGCCGACUAGGGAUCGGAUGAUGUUAAUUUUUUAAUGACUCAUUCGGCGCCUU